rnacentral:rRNA from 2 species
CUCGUGACGGUGGAUGUCUUGGCUCCAGCAACGAUGAAGAACGCAGCAAAAUGCGAUACGUAGUGCGAAUUGCAGAACCCGUGAAUCAUCGAAUCUUUGAACGCAAGUUGCGCUCGCGGGCAAUCCUGCGAGCAUGUCUGUUUGAGUGUCCGCACAAAU